UUCUUUCUUUUUUUUUUUUUAUGAAUUUCUUAUAUUUUUGUGUUGUGUUUAUGCUGAUGCGACCGAAAGAGGCGACUGUGGUGACGGUGCAUGUCAUGGCUAUAAAUCUGAACGAAAUUGCCAGCCAGGCAAACAGCCAGCCAUUUGGUCAGUCAGUCAAUGUACACAAUACGUUAAUUGUGCAGCACAAUGUGCAACUAGUGAAAAGAGUGAACUGACUACAAUAUACACUCUCUUUUUAGUCGAGUCACACGCUUUCCUCUUCAAUUUGGCCACACAAAAUGCUGGCUGAUCUUAUCUCAGUUUGAGAUAAUUAUAAUGAAAAUCUACAAAAUAAUUAAAUAGCAUUUGUAGUAGCAAGUGAAAAACAGCAAUUGCACUCUUAAUUGUAAAAAGGGGAAAUGUCGAUUUUACCCGAAUUGAAAACAGUUAUCAAAGAUCCUAACGGGUCAAAUGUUUCACAAGUUUUUCAGAAUCUUUUGAAUCUACAAAUGAAAAAUCAGUUGAACAGCCUUAGCCUUUAGCUUAUCAAGUUGGAAAUGCAUCAAUGCAAUCACAGCAAACAUGUCCACAUGUAUUUUAACAAUAUCAAUCUGAGUAACAUUAUGCUGGUCCCUUGUCUCGUUCAAGCCCUGCCUUUGUCGAGCUGGUGAGAAGAAUAUUCGCAGCAUUUGGAUGCAAUUUUGUUGUAUGCAACAGCAUAUGCAUAUCAGCUGCGGGUAUUUGUUGGCAAGUGUGCAUUGUUGAGAUGGCAUUUUGUUGAUGCUGCGAUUCGGCGAUGCGGCGACUUUUGCUAUUUAGCUGCAUAUUGCAUGAGCGCAUCGCAUAUUUAUAUCGUUUUUGGCGGCCUGAGGCGCAAAUGUUUUCAAAAUGCUUUUUGCAUAAUAAUACAAAACAACGCAGCAACUAAUUAACCAAAGAAUCGAGCAAUUAAACGGAACGAACACUCGAGUUAGCGCGAGAUGGCAAACCGCAUUGUUUAUAUACAAUAAACUAUUGCGUGCUGUUGCUGUUGUUGUUGCUGUUGUUGCUGGUGCGUCAUGCCUUCAUAUCGACCACACACAGCUGCCACAUGGUAGACGAGACUCGAACAGAAUACAAACGCUGACAAUGCGCAGAGCUAUUUGCAACAACAACAACAACAACGACAACGACAACAAUUACCAUGCCACAAUCGUGAUCAUCCAAAAGAGUGUGCUAAUGUGCGUGUGAAUCACUCAAUAAGCACAACAACAGACAAGAGACAAUUAGAUGAAGACAACGAGAUCAUCCACAUUGCUGACAAUAGUUGCGAACAGGCACUCACCAUGCAAACUGCUGCGGCUGCUCUCGCUGCGAUUCAGUUCAAAACCGUUCUGCAAUAAACACACAAGAUCUAAACAAAAGUUUCUCACAUUGAAGAACUUCAACUGGGUUUGCAUUUGGUUUUGUACUCACCUCGGGCGCCAUCCAGGCAGCGCUGCCGCGAUUGUUUGUCAUCAUGGUUGACUUAUCGGCGACGGUGCCAAAAUCACAUAUCUUCAAAUUGCGUCCCUUGUUGGUCAGCAGCAAAUUGAGCGGCUUCAGAUCGCGAUGGAUCAGCGGCUUGGGCGACAUUCCAUGCAGAUAAAGGACAAGGAAGAAUAAGGAAUCACCUCGGCACACUGGAGCGCCCAGCUCAUGGCAUGCGCCAAGCUAUACGCGGGCUUCACUUUGCCAUGCAGAAAAUUGUGCAGGGAUCCGCCCUCGGCGUACUCCAUGAUUAAAUAUGUGGCCUGCUGGGCAUAACAGAUGCCGUAUAGUGCAAUAAUGUUGUCAUGCUUGACGCGCGACAACUGCUUCACCUCCUUGUCAAUGUCCUUCUGCUCGGCGCUGGCGAAGAACUCCUUGACGGCCACCAGCUUGUUGCUCCACAUUGCCUUGGACACAACACCAAACGAGCCAUGGCCGACUUUCUACAUGUGGCAAUGAAAGAAUUGUGUUUAAGUAAA